rnacentral:rRNA from 1 species
UACGAAGGGGCGAGCGUUGUUCGGAAUUACUGGGCGUAAAGGGCGCGCAGGCGGCCCUUGAAGUCAGGCGUGAAAGCCCCGGGCUCAACCUGGGAGGUGCGCUUGAUACUCGAGGCUUGAGUGCGGGAGAGGAGAGUGGAAUUCCAGUGUAGAGGUGAAAUUCGUAGAUAUUGGGAAGAACACCGGUGGCGAAGGCGGCUACUCUGGACCGUAACUGACGCUGAGGCGCGAAAGCGUGGGAGCAACAGG